UUUUGGUAAUUUGCAGAAAGAUGGAACUUACAUGUUUUACUUGGAAGGUUUUAUCCCAAAAUCUGUCAAUUAGCUCAACAAGUUGGUGAAGAUAUAAUGAAUGUUGUCUGAAACACCGUCUUUCUUGAAUGGUAUUCAGAGUCUGAUAAUAUUGUUUCUGUAGUUUUGGAAAUCUAUGGAAAGAUUCUGACAAUCCUAAUCAAAAUCGUUGGGUACAACAAGUGUUGAAAGAUGACCAUCAUGUCUCACAAACAGAGGCUUCGAUGAAAAUCCCAUCUUGGUCGACAAUUGUAAAUGAGAAAGGCGAACUAAAUGUGCCUGCCUUGACAUUAUAGAGGUUACCAUCUCACUUGCACGACAAACGAAGGUAGAAGCUUCAGUUGCGAUUGUUCCUAAAUAGUUUUUGAGUAGGCUAGGAAAGAAAGAAGAAAUGAUAGAGCGAAAUGGGUUGGUUGCCCAAAUAUCUGAUCUGAUCAUGGGGGAUAGCACAAGGGCUUAAGGCAUUGGUUUGCUAAAUCGACAUGGUGCAAUAACGGAUAUCAUUAGACAUCUUAGAAAAAGCGUACACUUGACUCUAGACGAUGCUGACCUGGGAGCUGAUGUAAUCAAAUGGAACAAAAAGUUUCAUGAACUUGUAGAUGAGUGCCUAGUGGAGUUAUCCUCUAAGGUUGGUGACGUGUGUCCAAUUUUUGACAUUAUGGCUGGGAUGCUAGAAAAUGUAUCAAGUAAUACAGUUGUAGGAAGAACUACAGUUGCUGCUGUUUACUGAACUGCUCAAAUUGUAGCUUCAUUGCCUAAUAUGGCAUACAACAAUAAGGCAUUUCUAGAAGCAUUGUUUCAUCAGUUGCUUCCUCUCAUGGUCCAUCAAGAUCAUGAAACCCGAGUUGGAGCUCAUCGAAUCUUCUGUUGUUCUUCUUCCUUCUUCUGUUUGCCCACGGUCUUCAAGUCUUGUGCCAGCUGGUGGAGAUCCAGACAAGACUGCAGUUCCGCGGUCACUGUCACGAACGGUUUCUGUCUUUUCUUCUUCAGCUGCUCUUUUUGGGAAGAUGAAAAAGGGUGGCCCUUUAAUGACCAACAACGUUAGUAAGCAAAAAUCAAAUAAUACAGAAUGAAGUCAAGCUAUAGCCAAACAUAUUCAAUAAAGAUAGAUACAAAUCCUGCAAACAAUUUAAACGAGGGUGGGGAAGCGGUUAUCCUUAGGCUCAAUUCUCACCAGAUAUUACUCCUCCUAUCUUCAAUCUAUGUCAUUUUCAUUGCUUGAUACUUCUCUUGCUGAAGCAGGAUCACUGCCAGCAUCACGUAGGAGAUCACUGUUCACUUUGGCGACUACAAUGAUAAUCAUUUCUGGGAAAGCAUUUAGUAUUGUUCCUCUCGUUCCAGUUGCAAAGGCUACACUUCCAAACAAGAUGGUGGAUCCAUACUUGUGCUUGAUUGAAGAUUGCAAGCUGACUGUUGGAACUGGGUCAGGUAGUAUCAGUUUCGGGUCUAAGGAAGAUGAUCAGUCUGCUCUGAAAUCCCUUUCAGCAAUAAAGUUCACAGAAGAUCAGUCAAUAGAAUCACUGGCUGCUACAAUCGUUAAGCACUUGGAAUCUGUCUCCGAGUCCAAGAUUGAGUUCUAGCAAUACGUCCAAGUCCAAGAUUGUGUUCUAGCAAGAUUCUGGGUAAAAUCCCAUAUAAGGAAGUUUGAUGUUGUAACUAUCAAAGUACUUAAACUUUUGCAGUUUGAUGUUGUAUCACUCCGGUUUCAUACCAACAUAUGCCAUUGCAACGGUGGUGGGUGGCAUUUAGAGGGGUAAAAGCCCAAAGAGUUUUUUGCUGUGCGAAAUCAUGGGUUACCUAACCUCUGUUUAAAAAUGUUCGAGACAAGUGUUUUGGGUCGCCCAACAUACAAAAGACAGGUACAUGAGAGAAGGCAGCAAUAGGGGCGGUGCCGGGUGGCAGAUGAUAGAUAUGCUUGCGUACGGGCUUUUGUUUAAGCUCUCUGCGUUGUUUCAGUUUUUCUAUAUCUCUUUGAUGUUUAAAUAGUUUUUGCAUUGGAAGUAAAUUCCUUUAAAUGGUUGUAGAUAACUCAAGAAAAAGUUAAUCCCUUUAUUAUUAUU